AACGAACGUUGGCGGCGUGGAUUAGGCAUGCAAGUCGAACGAGAACCGGGUAGCAAUAUCUGGGGAAAGUGGCGAAAGGGGCAGUAAGGCGUGGGUAACCUACCCCCGGGACGGGGAUAGCCAUCCUAACGGGUGGAUAAUACCCGGCGA
rnacentral:rRNA from 1 species